rnacentral:misc_RNA from 1 species
AAAUAAAAAAAACACAUUACACACACUACCAUGUAUUUGACACACACACGCAUAUUAUACUCUUUUGUUGAUUGUCAAAGACAAGUUCUUUAUUUUCAUAAUUUUUUUGUUGUCUUAAAUUCCAAUUUUUAAUUAAUGUCGAAUUUCGACCUCUGGGCGCCCACUAGUAUUAUAAAAUGACUCAUGAAAGCAAUUUAAGAUCACUGAUGCGAGUUUGGUACGAAACAAUUCAAUUUGUUUGCAAUGGAUGUUGUAAAGUAAAAUGUUCACAAAAUUACGGCAGUAUAUACGUAUUUUAAGAUAGAAUAAUUGAUGAUAACGGUAAUUGUAAAUAUAUUUUAAAUGACAACAUUAACAAUAAAAAACUCAUCAAUCAUUAUCAAAAAAUCACAUUCAUUUGUAGUAUUUAAAAAAAAAAAAAAAACGAAAAAAAAAUUUUUGGUGAUGUUUAAAUAUUUUACAUUUAAUUAAAAUCUCAAACUUAAUCCUCAUUAAAAACCGGCAUGAAUUAUAUUUAUUUGAUAUAAAACUAUAAAAUCGAUACAGCGUUCGAAUACAUAAAAGUUAAUGUUUUAAGAAUAAAUUAUAAUUAUUGACAUUCCCAAAGGUCUUCCUUAGUAUUAACAUAAAAAAUAUAUAUAAAAAUACUCUAAAUAAAAAAAAUAUAUCAUAUUAAGGGUAAAUCAUG